rnacentral:rRNA from 1 species
UUGACCUCGGAUCAGGUAGGGAUACCCGCUGAACUUAAGCAUAUCAAUAAGCGGAGGAAAAGAAACCAACAGGGAUUGCCCCAGUAACGGCGAGUGAAGCGGCAAGAGCUCAAAUUUGAAAGCUGGCUCCUUCGGGGUCCGCAUUGUAAUUUGCAGAGGAUGCUUCGGGAGCGGUCCCCAUCUAAGUGCCCUGGAACGGGACGUCAUAGAGGGUGAGAAUCCCGUAUGGGAUGGGGUGUCCGCGCCCGUGUGAAGCUCCUUCGACGAGUCGAGUUGUUUGGGAAUGCAGCUCUAAAUGGGUGGUAAAUUUCAUCUAAAGCUAAAUAUUGGCCGGAGACCGAUAGCGCACAAGUAGAGUGAUCGAAAGAUGAAAAGCACUUUGAAAAGAGAGUUAAAAAGCACGUGAAAUUGUUGAAAGGGAAGCGCUUGCGACCAGACUCGCUCGCGGGGUUCAGCCGGCAUUCGUGCCGGUGUACUUCCCCGCGGGCGGGCCAGCGUCGGUUUGGGUGGUCGGUCAAAGGCCCUCGGAAGGUAACGCCCCCUCGGGGGCGUCUUAUAGCCGAGGGUGCAAUGCGACCUACCCGGACCGAGGAACGCGCUUCGGCUCGGACGCUGGCAUAAUGGUCGUAAGCGACC